AUCAAAAACAUGUCUUUAAGAGAAUAUAUUUAAGGUCUAAUCUGCUCAAUGAUUUAAUUAAAUAGCUGCAGAAUUUUAACUGUACAAAGGUAGCAUAAUAAUUAGUUUAUUAAUUGUGAACUGGAAUGAAUGAUUUAAUAAAAUAUUAAUUGUUUCUUAAUUAAAAUUAUAAUUUAAUUUUUAAGUAAAAAAGCUUAAAUAAAAAUAAGGGACGAGAAGACCCUAUAGAUUUUUAUAUUUAAAUUUUCAUGAAAAUUUAAAUAAAGAGAUUGUGAAUUUAAAUAUUUUGAUGGGGAAUUAAUUAAAUGAAAAUUUUUGUUAAAAAUUUUCAUUUAUAAAAGAUUUUUAAGUGAAUAAAGUUAUUUUAAUUUUAUGGAAAAUAAAAAUACCUUAGGGAUAACAGCAUAAUUAUUUUAUUAAGAUCAAAUUUUUAAAAUAGUUUGUGACCUCGAUGUUU
rnacentral:rRNA from 1 species